UACGUAGGUGGCAAGCGUUGUCCGGAUUUACUGGGCGUAAAGAGCGCGCAGGCGGUCGUUCAAGUCGCGUGUGAAAGCCCCCGGCUCAACUGGGGAGGGUCACGCGAUACUGAUCGACUCGAAGGCAGGAGUGGGUAGUGGAAUUCCCGGUGUAGUGGUGAAAUGCGUAGAUAUCGGGAGGAACACCAGUGGCGAAGGCGACUACCUGGCCUGUUUCUUGACGCUGAGGCGCGAAAGCUAGGGGAGCAGACGGG
rnacentral:rRNA from 1 species